GAAGUUCCUCCCUCUGGACCGGAAAUCUCUCUUUUUGGACUGGAAGACGAGAGGUGUAGGACGGGUGUUCUUCGUUGCUCCUCGCCCAGAGCAACAAAAUGAUGACUUUUUGGUGGUUUCUUCGACCGAGUGGAGACGUGUGCGUGGUUGUGCAAAGAUAAUCAGAUGGACAGCUGUGAAAUGUGAUCUUCUACGGUGUCUGAUAAGCGGUGACCCUGACGGAAUGCAAAUCGGAAGGUUUGCUCCAUUUUGUCUCCGGUAAAGAAGCGGUAUAAACGGAAAGGGGACAUUUUGUUCAUCUCGGGUAUGUAUUUCAAACUGUGACAUGCUGCCCUAAAAUAUCUACCGGUUAUCUGAGCCGUUUAUCCUUCCGUAAAAUAAAUCCUGUGAAAAAAAUGGCUGUUGUAAUGGUGCUUA